GACGAACGCUGGCGGCGCGCUUAACACAUGCAAGUCGAGCGAUGAAAUCUUAACAGAACCCUUCGGGGCGAAGAUAAGACGGAUUAGCGGCGGACGGGUGAGUAACACGUGAGUAACCUGCCUUUUACACAGGGAUAGCCUCGGGAAACCGGGAUUAAAACCUGAUGAAACUAUCAAAUCACAUGAUUAAGAAAGUUAAAACUCCGGUGGUAAAAGAUGGACUCGCGUCCCAUUAGCUAGUUGGUUGAAGGUAACGGCCACCAAGGCAACGAUGGGUAGCCGGCCUGAGAGGGUGAACGGCCACAUUGGAACUGAGAAACGGUCCAAACUCCUACGGGAGGCAGCAGUGGGGAAUAUUGCACAAUGGGGGAAACCCUGAUGCAGCGACGCCGCGUGAGCGAAGAAGGCCUUCGGGUCGUAAAGCUCUUUAUAUAUGGGAAGAUAAUGACGGUACCAUAAGAAAAAGCCCCGGNUAACUACGUAGCCAGCAGCCGCGGUAAUACGUAGGGGGCUAGACGUUGUCCGGAAUCACUGGGACGUAAAGGGUUCGCANGCGGCAAUGCAAGUCAGAUGUAAAAAGGCAAAGGCUCAAACAUUUGUAAGCAUCUGAAACUGUAUAGCUUGAACUUUAAGGCGCCAAGGGAAUUUUCUAGUCACCGGUAAAACGCCGUAGAUAUAAAGAGAAAUCCCGUGGCCGAAGGCGACCUCUGGGGCAACAAAUCUGGACCCUGAGGAACGAAAGCUUGGGGACCAAACAGGAUAAGAUACCCCUGGUAGUCCACGCCGUAAACGAUGAGUGCUAGGUGUCGGUAUAAAUCGGUCCCGCAGUUAACACAAUAAGCACUCCGCCCUGGGGAGUACGUGCGCAAGCAUGAAACUCAAAGGAAUUGACGGGGACCCGCACAAGCAGCGGAGCAUGUGGUUUAAUUCGAAGCAACGCGAAGAACCUUACCAGGGCUUGACAUAUAAGAGACGAACUUAGAGAUAAGUUUUCUUCUUCGGAAGCCCUUAUACAGGUGGUGCAUGGUUGUCGUCAGCUCGUGUCGUGAGAUGUUGGGUUAAGUCCCGCAACGAGCGCAACCCUUAUUACUAGUUACCAGCAUUUCGGAUGGGGACUCUAGAAAGACUGCCGAUGAUAAAUCGGAGGAAGGUGGGGAUGACGUCAAAUCAUCAUGCCCUAUAUGCCCUGGGCAACACACGUGCUACAAUGGCCGUAACCAAAGAGAAGCGAAAUCGCCAAGGUCAAGCAAACCUCAAAAAGACGGUCUCAGUUCGGAUUGUUCUCUGCAACUCGAGAACAUGAAGUCGGAGUUGCUAGUAAUCGCAGAUCAGAAUGCUGCGGUGAAUGCGUUCCCGGGUCUUGUACACACCGCCCGUCACACCAUGGGAGCUUGUAAUACCCGAAGCCUGUGAGCUAACCGCAAGGAAGCAGCAGUCGAAGUAGACAAGUGACUGGGUG
rnacentral:rRNA from 1 species